UACGAAGGGGACUAGCGUUGUCCGGAAUCAUUGGGCGUAAAGCGCGUGUAGACGGCUUCGUAAGUCCGUUGUGAAAGUCCAGGGCUCAACCCUGGAAUGCCGAUGGAUACUGCGGAGCUAGAGUCCGGAAGAGGCGAGUGGAAUUCCUGGUGUAGCGGUGAAAUGCGCAGAUAUCAGGAGGAACACCAAUGGCGAAGGCAGCUCGCUGGGACGGUACUGACGCUGAGACGCGAAAGCGUGGGGAGCAAACAGG
rnacentral:rRNA from 1 species